GACGAACGCUGGCGGCGUGCUUAACACAUGCAAGUCGAACGAAGUGGCGAACGGGUGAGUAACGCGUAAUCAACCUGCCCUUCAGAGGGGGACAACAGUUGGAACCGACUGCUCAUACCGCAUACUGAAGGAGGGGAUUGCGUCUGAUUGGCUAGGUGGAGGGGUAACGGCCCACCAAGGCGAUGAUCAGUAGCCGGGCUGAGAGGAUGAACGGCCACAUUGGGACUGAGACACGGCCCAGACGCCUACGGGAGGCAGCAGGUGGGAAUCUUCCGCAAUGGACGAAAGUCGGACGGAGCAACGCCGCGUGAGUGAUGACGGCCUUCGGGUUGUAAAGCUCUGUUAAUCGGGACGCGGUACCGGAAUAGAAAGCCACGGCUAACUACGUGCCAGCCGCCGCGGUAAUAC
rnacentral:rRNA from 1 species